rnacentral:rRNA from 1 species
AACGAACGCUGGCGGCAUGCCUAACACAUGCAAGUCGAACGUAGCCUUCGGGCUUAGUGGCGCACGGGUGCGUAACGCGUGGGAAUCUGCCCUUGGGUUCGGAAUAACAGUUAGAAAUGACUGCUAAUACCGGAUGAUGUCUUCGGACCAAAGAUUUAUCGCCCAAGGAUGAGCCCGCGUAGGAUUAGGUAGUUGGUGGGGUAAUGGCCCACCAAGCCGACGAUCCUUAGCUGGUCUGAGAGGAUGAUCAGCCACACUGGGACUGGGACACGGCCCAGACUCCUACGGGAGGCAGCAGUGGGGAAUAUUGGACAAUGGGCGAAAGCCUGAUCCAGCAAUGCCGCGUGAGUGAUGAAGGCCUUAGGGUUGUAAAGCUCUUUUACCAGGGAUGAUAAUGACAGUACCUGGAGAAUAAGCUCCGGCUAACUCCGUGCCAGCAGCCGCCGUAA